UUUAAACUGGGAUUAGAUACCCCACUAUGCCUGGCCCUAAAUCUUGAUGCUCGAUCUUACCGGAGCAUCCGCCCGAGAACUACGAGCACAAACGCUUAAAACUCUAAGGACUUGGCGGUGUUCCAAACCCACCUAGAGGAGCCUGUUCUGUAAUCGAUGAUCCACGAUAUACCUGACCAUUCCUUGCCCGAGCAGCCUAUAUACCGCCGUCGCCAGCCCACCCAGCAUGAAGGCCCAACAGUGGACGCAAUAGCCCUACCGCGCUAACAAGACAGGUCAAGGUAUAGCCUAUGGAAUGGAAGCAAUGGGCUACAUUUUUUAAGGUAGAACAUAACGGCAAAGGGAUAUGAAAUUGUCCCUGGAAGGCGGAUUUAGCAGUAAAGUGGGACAAUCGAGCCCUCUUUAAGCCGGCCCUGGAGCACGUACAUACCGCCCGUCACCCUCCUCAAAAGCGCCCCCACCCCCCCCAUAACUAAUAAGCUACUCAGCCGAAGAGGAGGUAAGUCGUCAACAAGGUUACUGGACGCCGGGAGAUAUUAUGAAGGUCCGCUG
rnacentral:rRNA from 1 species